rnacentral:rRNA from 1 species
AUUGAACGCUGGCGGCAUGCCUUACACAUGCAAGUCGAACGGUAACAGGUCUUCGGAUGCUGACGAGUGGCGAACGGGUGAGUAAUACAUCGGAACGUGCCCGAUCGUGGGGGAUAACGGAGCGAAAGCUUUGCUAAUACCGCAUACGAUCUACGGAUGAAAGCAGGGGACCGCAAGGCCUUGCGCGGACGGAGCGGCCGAUGGCAGAUUAGGUAGUUGGUGGGAUAAAAGCUUACCAAGCCGACGAUCUGUAGCUGGUCUGAGAGGACGACCAGCCACACUGGGACUGAGACACGGCCCAGACUCCUACGGGAGGCAGCAGUGGGGAAUUUUGGACAAUGGGCGAAAGCCUGAUCCAGCCAUGCCGCGUGCAGGAUGAAGGCCUUCGGGUUGUAAACUGCUUUUGUACGGAACGAAAAGACUCUUUCUAAUAAAGAGGUUCCAUGACGGUACCGUAAGAAUAAGCACCGGCUAACUACGUG